UAGCGAAAGCGAAUCCUAAUGAGGGUGUUGUCAGUGGCAUGUUCUGGACCCGAAGCGGGGUGAUCUACCCAUGGCCAGUGUGAAGCAGCUGUAAGAGGUUGUGGAGGCGCGAACCCACUUAGGUUGAAAACUGAGGGGAUGAGCUGUGGGUAGGGGUGAAAGGCCAAUCAAACUCCGUGAUAGCUGGUUCUCCCCGAAAUGCAUUUAGGUGCAGCGUUGUGUGUUUCUUGCUGGAGGUAGAGCUACUGGUUGGUUGAGCGGGACUACAAUCUUAGCAAUGUCAGCCAAACUCCGAAUGCCGGUAAUGUUAAGCAUGGCAGUGAGACUGCGGGGGAUAAGCUCCGUUGGUCGAGAGGGAAACAGCCCAGAUCGCCGGUUAAGGCCCCUAAGGGUGUACUAAGUGGAAAAGGAUGUGGGAUCGCGAAGACAGCCAGGAGGUUGGCUUAGAAGCAGCCAUCCUUGAAAGAGUGCGUAAUAGCUCACUGGUCGAGUGGUUCUGCGCCGACAAUGUAGUGGGGCUCAAGUACACCGCCGAAGCCGCGGCAGUCAGCAUUUUUUGUUGGUUGGGUAGGGGAGCGUCGUGCACUGCUGUGAAGCACCUGGGUGACUUGAUGGUGUGGAGUGUGUGCGAGUGAGAAUGCAGGCAUGAGUAACGAAUGAAAAGUGGAAAACUUUUCCGCCGGAUGACUAAGGGUUCCUGGGUUAAGCUAAUCUUCCCAGGGUGAGUCGGGACCUAAGGCGAGGCCGACAGGCGUAGUCGAUGGAUAACCAGUUGAUAUUCUGGUACCCGUGUAUGUGCGCCCAGUGGUGAAUCAGUGGUACUAACCAUCCAUGGAUCUUCUGGUCAUGCUUUUUGUGUGGUUGGUGGUGAUGUGCGUGGGAUCUUCGUUGGUAGUAGCCAAGUGAUGGGGUGACGCAGUGAGGUAGCUGAGCCAUGUAGUGGAUUGUGGUGUAAGCGUGUGGCCCGUGGCAUAGGUAAAUCCGUGUCGCAUAGUGGGUGAGGCGUGAUGCGUAGACCUUUGUGGUUGAUGUUGGUGAUCCUGUACUGUCGAGAAAAGCCUCUAGCGAGUGCAUAUAUGGCCCGUACCCAUAACCGACACAGGUGGUCAGGUAGAGAAUACUAAGGCGAUCGGGUGAACUGUGGUUAAGGAACUCGGCAAAUUGCCCCCGUAACUUCGGGAGAAGGGGGACCAUUGCUGGUGACCGACGUGGUUGAGCUGGUGGUGGUCGCAGAGAAUAGAGGGAAGCGACUGUUUAUUAAAAACACAGGUCCGUGCGAAAACGUGGAAGUUGAUGUAUACGGACUGACGCCUGCCCGGUGCUGGAAGGUUAAGAGGACCUGUUAGGGCAUUGUUGUCCGAAGCGGAGAAUUUAAGCCCCAGUAAACGGCGGUGGUAACUAUAACCAUCCUAAGGUAGCGAAAUUCCUUGUCGGGUAAGUUCCGACCUGCACGAAUGGCGUAACGACUUCCCUGCUGUCUCAACCACAGGCCCGGUGAAAUUGCAGUACGAGUAAAGAUGCUCGUUACGCGCGGCAGGACGAAAAGACCCCGGGACCUUCACUAUAGCUUGGUAUUGGUGUUUGGUUCGGUUUGUGUAGGAUAGGUGGGAGACUGUGAAGUGGUCACGCUAGUGGUUGUGGAGUCGAAAGUUGAAAUACCACUCUGAUCGGAUUGAGCACCUUAACCUUGGCCCAUGAUCUGGGUUGGGGACAGUGCCUGGUGGGUAGUUUAACUGGGGCGGUUGCCUCCUAAAAUGUAACGGAGGCGCCCAAAGGUUCCCUCAGCCUGGUUGGCAAUCAGGUGGUGAGUGUAAGUGCACAAGGGAGCUUGACUGUGAGACUGACAGGUCGAGCAGGGACGAAAGUCGGGACUAGUGAUCCGGCAUCUACUUGUGGAAGUGGUGUCGCUCAACGGAUAAAAGGUACCCCGGGGAUAACAGGCUGAUCUUCCCCAAGAGUCCAUAUCGACGGGAUGGUUUGGCACCUCGAUGUCGGCUCGUCGCAUCCUGGGGCUGGAGUAGGUCCCAAGGGUUGGGCUGUUCGCCCAUUAAAGCGGCACGCGAGCUGGGUUUAGAACGUCGUGAGACAGUUCGGUCUCUAUCCGCCGCGCGCGUUGAAACUUGAAGAAGGCUGUCCCUAGUACGAGAGGACCGGGACGGACGUACCUCUAGUGUGCCAGUUGUCACGCCAGUGGCAGGGCUGGUUGGCUACGUACGGGAGGGAUAACCGCUGAAAGCAUCUAAGCGGGAAGCCUGUUUUGAGAUGAGGUUUCUUUUGAGGUUCCCUCUAGACUAGGGGGUUGAUAGGCCAGAUCUGGAAGCGUAGUAAUGCGUUAAGGUGACUGGUACUAAUAUGACCGAGUAAUAACAUUGU
rnacentral:rRNA from 1 species